GCGCCCUUAGUUUAACGGAUAGAACAGCGGCCUUCGAAGCCGCUUAUGGGGGUUCGAUUCCUCCAGGGCGCACCA
rnacentral:tRNA from 1 species